rnacentral:rRNA from 1 species
UACGGGGGGGGCAAGCGUUGUUCGGAAUUACUGGGCGUAAAGGGUUCGUAGGUGGCUUGUUAAGUCAGACGUGAAAUCCCUCGGCUCAACCGGGGAACUGCGUCUGAGACUGAUGAGCUCGAGUGCAGGAGAGGAACGCGGAAUUCCAGGUGUAGCGGUGAAAUGCGUAGAUAUCUGGAGGAACACCGGUGGCGAAGGCGGCGUUCUGGACUGCAACUGACACUGAGACACGAAGGCCAGGGGAGCAAACGGG